rnacentral:rRNA from 1 species
GACGAACGCUGGCGGCGUGCUUAACACAUGCAAGUCAAGGGGGCCCAGCAAUGGGCAACCGGCGAACGGGUGCGUAACACGUGAGCAACCUACCGAACUGUGGGGGAUAGCCGGCCUAACGGCCGAGUAAUACCGCAUACGCUUUCAGUGAGGCAUUUCAUUGAAAGGAAACCUACGGGACAGAUCGAGGGGCUCGCGGCCUAUCAGCUAGUUGGCGAGGUAACGGCUCACCAAGGCAACGACGGGUAGCUGGUCUGAGAGGAUGGCCAGCCACAUUGGGACUGAGAUACGGCCCAGACUCCUACGGGGGCAGCAAUUAGGAAUCUUGCGCAAUGGGCGAAAGCCUGACGCAGCGACGCCGCGUGCAGGAAGAAGGCCUUCUGGGUUGUAAACUGUCUUUAUCUGGGAAGAAAAACCUAAUGCGUAGGGAACUGACGGUACCAGAUGAAUAAGCACCGGCUAACUCCGU